UCUUAAUCUUCCUACAAGCAUAUUGGCUGCAUCUAUUGUAUGCUGGACUCGGGACUGUGAUCUUCUCAGUUCCCAAGCAGGAACCAGGAGCCAGGGAGAGCAAAUACCUGAAUUCCUUGUACCUGGUGAUGGAUGUGCAGC